rnacentral:lncRNA from 1 species
AUUUUCUUUUCUAGUCAGCGCAUGCGCGGUGGCUUCCACACAACGCGUAUAAAAGGACUGGAUCUCAAAGGACAUGUCACAAAGCCCAAGCAGGUCAAAGCAUUGGACACACAAACUCCUAAACUUCAGUAUCGAGACUUCAACUUCGAGAUAACAAGAUGCGUUUCCUCUUCAUUCUGAUCGCCAUGUGCAGCCUCCUGAGUGUCGCCCUCGCGCUUCCUCAGUUCCGGGAAGUGAGAAACGAAGGAUCUCGGAAUUUCUUUAUCCGACCGUUCUUCAGCAGAAACCAGCGCUUCAGGGCGAACCGUCGACGACCCUACGUCACCGACGACUUCUUGGGAGGCAGAUAAUAAGCCAAGGAGCUGAGGAGAUGACUCUGGUCGGCCAAGGAAGUGAGUCAGAUGAGUCCCAUCGGCAGAGGAGAUGAAUUAUGACCUGAUU